GCACGCCUAUCACAUGCAAGUCGAGCGGAUGAAGGGAGACUUGCUCCUGGAUUCAGCGGCGGACGGGUGAGUAAUGCCUAGGAAUCUGCCUGGUAGUGGGGGAUAACGUCCGGAAACGGGCGCUAAUACCGCAUACGUCCUGAGGGAGAAAGUGGGGGAUCUUCGGACCUCACGCUAUCAGAUGAGCCUAGGUCGGAUUAGCUAGUUGGUGGGGUAAAGGCCUACCAAGGCGACGAUCCGUAACUGGUCUGAGAGGAUGAUCAGUCACACUGGAACUGAGACACGGUCCAGACUCCUACGGGAGGCAGCAGUGGGGAAUAUUGGACAAUGGGCGAAAGCCUGAUCCAGCCAUGCCGCGUGUGUGAAGAAGGUCUUCGGAUUGUAAAGCACUUUAAGUUGGGAGGAAGGGCAGUAAGUUAAUACCUUGCUGUUUUGACGUUACCAACAGAAUAAGCACCGGCUAACUUCGUGCCAGCAGCCGCGGUAAUACUGAAGGGUGCAAGCGUUAAUCGGAAUUACUGGGG
rnacentral:rRNA from 1 species